CGGGUGAGUAACGCGUGGAUAACCUGCCUCACACUGGGGGAUAACAGUUAGAAAUGGCUGCUAAUACCGCAUAAGCGCACAGUACCGCAUGGUACGGUGUGAAAAACCCAGGUGGUGUGAGAUGGAUCCGCGUCUGAUUAGCCAGUUGGCGAGGUAACGGCCCACCAAAGCGACGAUCAGUAGCCGACCUGAGAGGGUGACCGGCCACAUUGGGACUGAGACACGGCCCAA
rnacentral:rRNA from 1 species